GACGAACGCUGGCGGCGUGCUUAACACAUGCAAGUCGAACGGAAAGGCCUGCUUUCCCUUGUGGAUUGCGGGUACUCGAGUGGCGAACGGGUGAGUAACACGUGAGUGAUCUGCCCCCAACUUGGGUAUAAGCCUGGGAAACUGGGUCUAAUUCCCGAUAGGACUGCAGGGUGGUGCCUGUGGUGGAAAACGAUUUUCUAGUGGUUGGGGAUGAGCUCGCGGCCUAUCAGCUUGUUGGUGGGGUAAUGGCCUACCAAGGCGGCGACGGGUAGCCGGCCUGAGAGGGUGGACGGCCACAUUGGGACUGGGAUACGGCCCAGACUCCUACGGGAGGCAGCAGUGGGGAAUAUUGCACAAUGGGCGGAAGCCUGAUGCAGCGACGCCGCGUGGGGGAUGACGGCCUUCGGGUGGUAAACUCCUUUCGACCGCGAGGAAGCCACCUGGUUGGAAGGGUGGUGACGGUAGUGGUAGAAGAAGCACCGGCUAACUACGUG
rnacentral:rRNA from 1 species